AUGACGAGUUUGUAGAUGCAGUAACUUUUCGAACUACUUUUGUGUAUUUUUUAUAUUCAUUUCUUUAUUUUUUGAUUUUUGUAUUGAUCCCGGUUGAUGUGUUAAUACAUUUUUUUUAAUCCUUCUAGGUAUACGAGUUUGUUUGUUUUGUUAAUAAUGUCUGCUUUCUUUAGAUUAAAAUAAAUAAAAACACAAUUUUAAAAUGGAUGCUGUAAAAAAUAAAUUAAACUCGAUGAAAGCUCAAUCCGAGUUGUCGGAAGAGCGCAUUAUCAAAUUUGAAUCAAGCUUAGCAGUUUCAAAACAACACUUAGAAGCUGCGCUUAAAGAAAAAGAAUCACUUUAUCGAAAAAUCGAAGCGAUCGAAGCGCAGAUUUUACUCGCGGAGCGAAAGAAGGAAGACGUCGUUGACAAGUUGAAAAGUUUACGCGACGAUACGGACUGUAGUGAAAGCAAGCGUCGUGUUUUGGAGAAUCGAGAGCUGGAAGGUGACGUAGCUUUGGGUAAAUUGGAAGAGCGGCUUAGAACUGUUCGCGAAAAGUACGAGGAAAAUGCGAGGCAAUGCGAAGAAGGCGAAAGGCGGUUAUAUGUCCUCACUGCGGACUUUGAAAAAACAAGAGAAAGACGUUUGAAGUCGGAGACGACAGCCGAAAAGUUGGAGAAAGAGAUUGAAGCGAAGAUGGAGCAAUUGCGUUGUUGUGAAGAAAGUCUACGAAAAAAUUCUUACAGUGAUUUUAAACAAGAAGAUCAUAUAAAGUUGCUCGAAAGUUAUAAUCGGGAGGCGGAAGAGAAGAAAGAAUUCGCACGAUUAAAUAUUUUGAAAUUGAGACGACAAAUCGAAAACACUGAAGAUGAAAUAGAGAAUGUGCGAAUGAGAACGAAAGAAGCGAACGUUCAACUAAAGAAUAUCGUCCAUGCUGUUGUGAACGUCUGAAAUAAAUGAAGCCGCGAAUAUUUUGUUGAUAAUUAGGAAGUUAUAAUUUCCAGUUGUAAAAUAAUACGUCAUUUUUAUUUAUAGAUAUUUUACAUUUAUUUUUACUUUCUUAAACACGCUCUUCUAACCGCUAAAUUGAUGAUGUCAAUAAUAAACGCUUCACACAGUUGUUAAGAGAUAAUUGUUUGAAAGACACACUUGAUUCGUUCUCGGCAUGUUUUCAAACCAAAGUUCAAACCAAAGUUGUCAUAAAAUCUGUUUUUGUAAAAGACUUAUCAUGCACAUGUCAGCGAUGGUGUGACCUUUCAAUGUGUUUUGCCAAAUUUUUUGUAAACACCUUUACUUGUAAACAUGUUCUUGUAAUGCGUCAUCUCCCAGUUCGAUUUUGUGACGGACAAAAAAACACGAAGUAGUCCAAACUGGUUCUUUCUAGUUUAAACUGGCUGUCAUUGCUGACAUGCUGCUUUAGAAAAUGUGUUAUUUCAAGUUAUUUUAUUUUUGACAAUUUUUAUUUUUAAAUUGAACUUUUAUCUAUAUUUUGUUAAUAAAAAAUGUUUGUUUGAAAAAUAACAAGAACAUUCACCCAUCUGAUACUGUUCCUUCACUAUCAAUUCUAUGUAAACAUCGAAUCUUUUGCAUGGAAAAUUGAGUUGCGCAUGCGCUCUGCCUACUAAGACCACACCUGUUUAACUGUACAGAUUUUCGUUUAGGGUGUAUAUUUUUGAAAAUUAUAUAUAUUUAGUAAAAUUAAGAUAGUGAUAAUGUGUGCUGGAUAAUAUAUAUGUAUAUGUUUUUUUAAGUUCUAUAUAUUUAAGAGAUAUAUUGUCUGAAUUUAAAAAAUGUUUAAUUUCUUAUCGGUGUUGCAAAGUGGAUAUUUUUAUCCUUUAGCAAAGGAUAUUACAUCUUUUUAUAAAAACUGUGAAAAAAACAAUUUUCUUUUAUUAAAAUUUCCAACUAUUAUUACUCCGACUUCUUAGUAGCGACUUCAUAUUACAAUAUUUAUGCAGGCUUAAAGUAACUGGAAAUACACCCUUCCCGAAUUUCAUAAAUUAUAAUAAUUAUGACGUCAUAUAAAAUUUAAUAAUGGUUCUGUGCUCUUCAAAUAAGGAUAUUCAGAUAGAAUAUUAAAUUAUCAUGACAAAACUGAAGUUUUUAGAGCAAUAUAAUAUUCUGGUUGGAUUUUAUUUAGAUUUAAAGAAAAUAAUUAUUUUGAAAACAAGGCUAUUCUUAGAAAGCUCGGCUAUAUGAAGGGUUUGACCGUAACUUUCAGCUCUGAAUUGAGGCACUUAACGAACAAAAAUAUUUUACGAAAUUAGGUAAUUUGUUCUACCUUUUCCUAAAGAACUUAGGGAUCAGAAUUAUUUUUAGUAUUGACCUCUUUAAUUGAGUUUGACAUAAUUAGAAAAUUCGGGAAAGUUCUAUUGAGAGAAAUGUCAGGUCUAAAGUAGCCAGAACAUUGCGAAAAAUGCCGAGAAUUUAAUUAAGCAAAGUCUGAAAUAUGUCAAUAGAAUAAAGGAUUAAAGAAAUUUUUGACUAAAAUAAAUAUACACUUAAAUUUUAAAACUGGGUCAUUUUAUUCAAUUACUUGAUGGUCAUUAGAAGCGACAAAACUUUUGCACAUCUUAACCAUGCAUUUUGUGUUCGCACGGAGAAGUUGAUGACGUGAAAUUUAUUUGACGUAAACAAUUGUAUACAAGCUUCAAAACAGUCACGCUGCAUGCGUAAGUCAAGUCUUAAUUGGAUUAUAAUUGUGUCCCUGGAACUGCUGGGUUUUUUUUAAUACAAUAAAAUCAUAACCGAAUUAAGAACAUAACCUUUUUGAUUCGUCUCAAUAUCUAUUUAUAAUCUGCUAAUUUAAAAGAAAAACCAGUUGAACGAGUUUUUAAAUUCAAUUGAUAAUAACUUGUUAAAUGUUAAGUUAUUAAACAAAACAGUAUCGAGGUGAAUGUUAAAGAUGAGAGUGCUAUUGCCAAAGCAAGAGAGUGCGUUUCUUGAGGAUCCGUCUCAAUUAUAUCGUCCAGACAAAACAAAUAAGAAGGAAGCUAAAGAUUUUCGAAAUUAUACGGAAAAGGUUCAAACGGAAAACGUAAAGCGAACUUAUCGAGAAAUGCAUGUGAAUCAAUGCAUGGAAUUUGUACAAAGAAAA